UACGUAGGGGGCAAGCGUUGUCCGGAAUCAUUGGGCGUAAAGAGCGUGUAGGCGGCUCGAUAAGUCCGCUGUGAAAGUCCAGGGCUCAACCCUGGAAGGCCGGUGGAAACUGUCGGGCUAGAGUCCGGAAGAGGCGAGUGGAAUUCCCGGUGUAGCGGUGAAAUGCGCAGAUAUCGGGAGGAACACCAGUGGCGAAGGCGGCUAUCUGGACGGUUUCUGACACUAAGACUCGAAAAGCGUGGGGAGCAAACAGG
rnacentral:rRNA from 1 species